rnacentral:lncRNA from 1 species
GUAUUUGCUCAGAGAAUAUGCCAAGGUCGUGGAUUCUUCGAAGGUAAAAAUGGCAACCGGACAGGUCGGGAGUGGUUUUUAUCUGCCUCUACGUUCUCCUCGAUGGCUUCAAACACCCUUUAUUCCCGCUCCCAUCUCCACCUCCAUUUGCGUUCCCAUUCCCCGUUGUCGUCCCGUCUCUCUGUACAACUUCAGUCAAAGCACAUUUUUAGCCAAAACAAGAGGUUCUGAAAUAUUCAGUAUCUUUCAAAAGAACCAAGGAACAGUGCUCCAUCAGCCACAUCGUUUGGGCAACACUCAUGCUCGAUUCCUCUGAGCUUCAAGAAUAAUUCUUGAAACUUAAGAGGAAGUUGGCGCAACGGCCUUCCCAUCUGCUCCAAAUUGGUACUGUCCUAUAAAUUGCGCUAUGUCUUUUGUGUGAAAUCCUACAUUUUCCUCCGACGGACUUGUCAGUUAUUCCAUACCGAAACAGCUAUCAUGUCUCUUUCAAUCACCACGUACGACACGAUCUAGAGAUGGUAACGCUGUAUGUAAUAGCCUUUGUCCACACACGAUCAAGAACAGUUUCGUAUUUGUCUUCGACUAGCUUAAGUUCUUAAUUGGUCCAAGUUAAUCCUGUUGAUCUUCACCAUUCUCUUGCAACAUAAAUUGUCAUUUGAAAUUAAUAAAUUUGGUCAAGUUUUUAGCGUCUACGUUAAUUAAAGCAGAAGUCAUGCGCAUGACUUUGCAUUAAACCAAAAUAUUGAAUUGAUUGUGGGUAACACCUGCUCCAAUAAAUACAAAGUUAGCUAGUGGUCUGAAGAUCGAGCACCCUAUAAAUCUAAAUGAAGGUUAAAAGAACCAAGUAUACUUAUUUGGCCGUCAAACCAAAACAAUCAAUUUUUCAAAGUUUGAACUCGGAUUGAGUAGACACAGUUGAAUUUUGCAUUUACUGAAAGCAACAAUGUACAAUUAUCUUUGGCUCAAGUAGUUAUCAAACCCUUGAUAAAUGUUAAGAACUUGGAACAAGUUGGAAGAAAGCGAGAAAAUGACACUUUCAUAUUAAUUAAAAGAAGCUAAAUGGACAAGUUGGAAGAAAGCGAGAAAAUGAUACUUUCAUAUUAAUUAAAAGAAGAAUACCGUAGCUCAAGACUCAAAAACAUUGUUCACAAUUUUAUCUUUUCAUCUACAAAAUUUAACACCAGAUACUAAAAGCAUUGAUAACUUUUCACUUGGUAUAUUUGUUAUUAUUAAAUUGAUUAAAAAUAAAUAAAUUUUUUUUCAUUUUAAUUAUACGGUGAAACAAUCAAAAUAUCAUUGGAAAUAAAAAAAAAAUUAAAAUUGGUAUCAAUGGGUAUUUUUGUGUUUCCACAAUGAUUUUUUUGUUAUUAUAAUGUCAGAUGAGGAUCAAUUUGAUAUUUGAUCAAAUAUAUAAAAAAAAUAAUAAAAAAUUUAAAAGCAUAAUGAAAUGUGAAAAUUUCCCUUAAAAGAAAAAAAAAUUAAAAUUGGAAUCAAGGGGCUUUUUUUUCUUUUUACAAUGAUUUAUUUUUGUUAUUAUUAAGUCAUCUUAGGGGUAAUUUGAUAUUUAACUAUACAUAAAAAAAACAAAAAAGGUGAGGCGCGUGAAGCUCACUCUCUAACGUGUGAGAGGCGCUCCUCCACGUCUAAAAAUGAUGUUCUGUUGUGUUAUUGUAAGUGUCACCACAUCCUUUUCCUGGUAGAAUGACACGUGUUGAUGGUGAUGGUUUGAUUUGUCGCUAGUUGAUUCUUUUUUAUGUUUCUCCUCCCUAAAAAAUUAUAAUUUGGUCUUCUUUGUUGUAGGUUUUUCAACUUUCGUUCUUAUUUUUUUUAUUCAAAUUUUUACUUUUGACAGUUUUAUAGAAGUUUUGUUUAUUUUCAAUUUCAUCCUUCCAUCCCAAUUUGCUCUAUAUUUAUUUUUUAAUUUGAUCCUCAUUCUUUUGAUUAAAUUUUUAGGCCUUUUAUUGAAUUAAUUUUUAUAUUCACCCUUCCAUAUACAAUUUUUUAUUUCAAUUUUGAUCCUCAUUCUUUUAAUUUUCUUAGUCCUUUUAUUCAAAAUGUUUUUUCAAUUUCACACUUCAAUCAAAAAUAAAAUUUAUUUUGUAUGUCAAUUUGACCCUCAUUCUUUUAACUAUCAUUUUUUUUUAUUUUGAAUUCUUUUGUGUAAUUGAUAUUCUUUUUCUAAGUUAAUCUUUCAACAUUUAAUUGGUUGGGAAUUGAGUUUCAUGUUUUUUUUCUAGAUAGGGUAUUUCCAAUCUAAUGCCCAGGGUUAAGGGUUUGAAAAGUUAUAAUUAUCUUUAUUUUUUUAUCAAGUUAUUCUAAUCUCAUGUUAACUCGGGUAAAUAAAAACCAAAUUUUUUUAUGUCCUAUAUUUAUCUUAAUUUAUUCUUCUAUAUUUAAUGAGUUGUAAAUUGAGAUACAUUAUUUUUUCUUUUUUCUAAGAAUAUAUUUUUACCAUGGUAUCUUAAUCACUUUUUUUUUUUUAAUUUGAUCCAUGCACUAUUGUUUUCUUUUAUAUAUAUAAUUGCUAGCAAUUACUAAAAAUAAUUAUUGAAUUAUAUCCUCUAAUAAUUGUUGUUGAUUAUGCUAAUUCUGCUGUUCUGCUAUUGCGUCUCUUCCUGUUAUUUUAUCCUUGUUACCAUUUUUAUUAAUUGUGAAACUUAGUGCUCUCGGCCAUUCAAGAAAUAUGGCUCUAAUACAAAUUGUAAUGGUUCUGGAUCGUUGUUUUAAAAUGAGAAUUAACUAAUCAAAAAAAGAAUUGUUGAAGUGUCUUUUUUGGAAUCUAAAUUAAAAAACUGAAAUAAUUGAAAUAGAAAAUUGAAGAACAGGAUUGUAAGUGGACAAUUGAGGUAAUAAAUGUUAACUAAAUUUCUAACAGAUUCAAGGUGACCCGAGCCUCCUUAGAUGAAUGUGAUUUCCUUCAAAGUAAUUUCUUGCAUCUCCUGCUCAUCCUCCCCUUCUAUUUAUUAACUAAAUCUUAGAAUUUGAAUUUGAAAUUCAAGAAGAAAACUGCCUGGGUAGAGUCUUGUGUUGAUUUGUAUGUUGAUGACUUUUCUUAUAUAAAUGACAUCAUAGUUGGAAACAAAAUGUCCUUGUCACGUGUCAACUAGUGAUCGGAGAGCCUCUUCCAGCCUACCACGUAAGUUUCCCGAUACAUCGCAACCAUACACGUGCUAAUCUCCUUAAUUUCUUGCAGGUUCUCUUGUGUCCCUGUUACUUCUUCAUUUCAAAGCAACCACCACCGGGCCCCUGCUCGACCACUACACGAAUCGGGUAAGUUAUAAUUUUCCAUCGUUGAAUGCAAUGCCAUACCACUUGACUUAAAUUGUCGACGGUUUGCAAUAAUAUCCCCUAGCCCUGAGCUAACCUUCUAUUUAGUGACCCUGAGCUAACCUUCUAUUUAGUGACUGUUAUUUAUCUAGCAUUCUAACAAACUACUAGCUAGCCAAGACCAAGAUGGAAGAACUAAAGCCAAUGCCACCAAGCUCAUGCCCCUUUACACCCAUAGGCUUCCUGGAAAGAGCUGCCACUGUUUAUGGUGAUUGCCCAUCCAUCAUCUACAACAACACCACUUACACCUGGUCUCAAACCUACCGUCGAUGUCUCAAGGUUGCAUCUUCGCUAUCAUCCAAUGUCAUCAAGCCAGGUCAAGUGGUUUCCGUUGUGGCCCCUAACGUUCCUGCCAUGUAUGAGCUUCAAUUUGCCGUGCCCAUGUCUGGUGCCAUCCUCAACAACAUCAACACCCGUCUUGACGCUCGGACCAUUUCCAUACUCCUGCGUCACAGUGAGUCAAAGCUCGUCUUCGUUGAUUAUUUGUCGCUUCGUGUUAUUCUUGAAGCCCUCUCUUUGUUUCCACCUGAGACUCCAUGCCCUGCCCUCGUCCUCAUUACGGAUGAUGAGGAAGAAGUACCGCCACCACCAUCACUUUCCGAAGACUUUUGUACUUACGAAAGCAUGGUGGAGAAAGGAGAUCCUGAGUUCAAGUGGGUCCAGCCACAAAGUGAGUGGGACCCGGUGGUUUUAAACUACACAUCUGGUACUACCUCAGCUCCUAAAGGUGUGGUACAAUCCCACAGAGGAACUUUCACCAUAACCAUUGGAUCCUUGAUUGAUUGGAGCCUACCAAAACAAGCAGUGUAUCUGUGGACCCUGCCGAUAUUUCACGCCAAUGGGUGGAGUUAUCCAUGGGGUAUGGCAGCUGUUGGCGGGACCAACAUCUGUCUUCGUAGAGUGGAAGCCCCUACGAUCUACAGCUUGAUCAAAAGGCACGGGGUCACUCACAUGUGUGGCGCACCUGUGGUGCUAAACAUGCUAACAAACUCUCCCAACGCGGAACGCCUACAAAACCCAGUGCAAAUUUUAACCGCGGGAGCUCCACCUCCAUCCGCCGUGCUGUUCCGGGCAGAGUCACUUGGUUUUGUGGUGAGUCAUGGAUACGGUUUAACUGAAACAGCAGGGCUGGUCACUUCGUGUGCGUGGAAACCAAAGUGGAAUACAUUUCCAGCAAGUGAGAGAGCAAUACUAAAGUCAAGACAAGGAGUUCCGAUUGUUGGCUUCACCGAGAUGGGCGUUGUGGAUCCCAAUACAGGAAAGAGUGUGGAAAGAGAUGGGGUAUCACUUGGUGAAGUUGUUUUGAGAGGUGGGAGCGUAAUGUUAGGUUACUUUAAAGAUCCAUUAGGCACGUCGAUGUGCAUGAAAGAUGGUUGGUUUUACACGGGCGACGUGGGUGUUGUGCACUCAGAUGGAUAUUUAGAGGUCAAAGAUAGGUCCAAAGACGUGAUCAUUAGUGGUGGAGAGAAUAUUAGCAGCGUAGAGAUCGAGUCUGUGUUGUAUACACAUCCUGCUGUUAACGAGGCAGCUGUGGUGGCUAGGCCUGAUGAGUUUUGGGGCGAGACACCGUGCGCGUUUGUGAGUUUGAAAAAUGGUUUGCCUCACAAACCUGGUGAGAAAGAUAUAAUUGAUUAUUGCAGGGAAAAGAUGGCGCAUUAUAUGGUACCAAAAAUCGUGGUGUUCAAAGAUGAGCUUCCAAAGACAUCAACUGGGAAGAUUCAGAAGUAUUUGCUCAGAGAAUAUGCCAAGGUCGUGGAUUCUUCGAAGGUAAAAAUGGCAACCGGACAGGUCGGGAGUGGUUUUUAUCUGCCUCUACGUUCUCCUCGAUGGCUUCAAACACCCUUUAUUCCCACUCCCAUCUCCACCUCCAUUUGCGUUCCCAUUCCCCGUUGUCGUCCCGUCUCUCUGUACAACUUCAGUCAAAGCAUAUUUUUUGCCAAAAAAAGAGGUUCUGAAAUAUUCAGUAUCUUUCAAAAGAACCAAGGAACAGUGCUCCAUCAGCCACAUCGUUUGGGCAACACUCAUGCUCGAUUCCUCUGAGCUUCAAGAAUAAUUCUUGAAACCUAAGAGGAAGUUGGCGCAACUGCCUUCCCAUCUGCUCCAAAUUGGUACUGUCCUAUAAAUUGCGAUAUGUCUUUUGUGUGAAAUCCUACAUUUUCCUCCGAUGGACUUGUCAGUUAUUCCAUACCGAAACAGCUAUCAUGUCUCUUUCAAUCACCACGUACGACACGAUCAAGAUAUGGUAACGCGCGCAGUAUGUAAUAGCCUUUGUCCAAAUAGCGAGGAAAAGUACAGUUUCUUAAUUGGUACAAGUUAAUCCUGUUCAUCUUCACCAUUCUCUUGAACAUAAAUUGUCAUUUUCAAAUUAAUAAAUUUGGUCAAGUAUUUAUUGUCUACGUUAACUAAAGCAGAAGGCAUGCAUGACUUUGCAUUAAACCAAAAUAUUCAAAUGAUUGUAGCUAGCAUCUGGUCCAAAAUAUACAAAGUUAGCUAGUGGUCUGAAGAUCAAGCAC